GAGCUGUAGUCUUCCCCGGCGCCGCGACCCGCAGCACAGACGGAGCGCGGACUAUGAGGACCGUCGUGCAGCGCGGCGGGACAGGGAGAGCGUGGGGCGGAGCGAGCCGAGCCCGCUGCACCGCCCCGCGGGGCUGCUGGGACGGGUAGUCCGUCCCGGGUGGGCCGAGGAGGUCGGCGUCGAAAAGAGCGCGGGUCGGCGGUUUUGCAAGCAGUCGUUGCGCUUCCGGGCUACGUGCCGGGAUCGGGGUGGCGGCCACGCGUCACCUCCCCUCAGCACCGGUCGCCCUCGGCUCCAGCAGGAAAACAAAACUGGACAUUCUGGAAGACAAGACAGCACCUCGCUAAGUUUGCCACACUCGACAGCAUUGCCAAGUACCAGAGCCACCCAAUCGCACAAAUAAAAGCACAAGAAUGAUUAGGGUUUCCUUCCUUCUGCUUUCCUCCUCUGUUACCUCAGUGCUACAAAGCGAACAACUGAUGAGCAUCCCAGGGGCUUGGUUAUUCUGUUUUAAAAUUAGACAGCAUAGAAAUAAUAAAAAUGUAUUUUGCUUGCACUUCCCAGUGCAAACAGUGGGUUUCACUUUCAUUAAUCCAUUAAAAGUAAUUUAUGCAACAGACAUUUAAAUUGUAAGUAUGUAGAUGAUUAAUGCAUACAGAAAUAUUCUGUUUGUGUGCUUUGUCACAGGCUUUAAGAUAAAAGAUGUCUCCAGGCCUGGCCCUGUGACAGACUGAGCACUUCCACCUUCCAGCCAAGUCGGUGGAGCUGAGCAUGUUCAUUCCCUCUCAGUUACAAUAAUUUGUCAAGCAUAGAAAAUAUGUAUUUGGGUGUAAAGAUAUAUAUUCCACAGUAUAAUCUGUUUUCUGAUCUUUCAAAAUCUGGGACAGGCUGGGAGAGAUGGUAAAAUUUAUGAGACAGAUUUUCAUUCUUGCUUGCUACUAACUGUUAUUUACGUGCAUGACAGUAGGGUAGCAGCAUCGCAAACUACAUAAUCCUGCCAUGUGCCUUGUGCCUGGGAAUACAUCAGCAGUCUGUGCUCACUCACUCCAUAGCCUUCCCUGUGAGAUACAGGAAUGCAGAUGCAAAUAGGAAAGCUUCUGUCCACUGUGAAGUUGUAUGGGAGCCAUGGAGAAUGAAGAUCAUUCAGCAGGUGUCAGAAAGUGACAAUCCUGUUGUGACCCAGCCCACAUUUUGAGGGAAUGUCUAAGAGCUUUUCCAUAACAUCAGCAGCCUCUGGAGUAGACACUUUGUCAUUGCUUACUAGUAUUUGCUAUUAAAUAAUAAGUAGCAAUCCAGUGGAAUAAUUAGCUUUUAUUGUCAAAACUGACAGAAGUUUUGAUGUUUUAUUUACUUCUCUAACCAGAUGUUUUUAUGAAAGUGCUUGAAAAAUUAUGACUGUAAAGUCAAAAGUGUUUCUCAUUUCUUCCUCCCUGCAUGAACUUUGCAGACAAAUAUUAUUCAAUAGAAGAAUCCAGGUUUUAUGGUGACUUGAUCCUAACUAACGUGUUUUAGAUUAAUGCUGUCUGUAAGUAUUCUAGCUAUACACUGACUUCAUCAAGAUUGAUUGCCCAGCUGAUUUCUGCAGCUAUAAAUUUUCAUCACAGAAUCUUUGAUAAUAAUCACAAUGGUUUGGCAAGCUAACGAUUUAUGCAGAUUAAAUACAAAUUUGUUUACAAGCGGUGUAUGCUGUAUUUAGCAAACAGGAUAGGGAAGUUUUGUUUUGUAUGACUGAAUACAUAUAAUGCAAGUAACUAAACCUUUGAGCAGUUUUAGAGGAGAACUCAUGAAAUACAGGAUCUGUCACAUUAGAUAUCCUUUGGAAGUGUAGCACUGAGUCCUAUCAGAGAUCACAGCAACAACCACAGCGUUUUCACAGGCAAAGUGAACAGCAGCAUCACAGUCAGGUGGAGGAGGAUUACUUUCAUAUGUUAGGUGAUCACCAUUGUCACAAAGUUAUAUCUAUUUACAAUGGCUCAGAAGAGCGAUUACUUCAACAACAGGAUUUAUCUGAACCCAUGGUACUUUGCAGAUGAUGCACUGCCAGCAACAAUAUCCAGGCAACCACUUCAGGCUGAGGAUGUAAUUUUUAAAUGUUAAGUAUGAUCUUCAUCCAAGCUGUUCUCUCUCUUCCUCAUCCUACACCCUCAGGAAGGGCUUAUCCCUAGAGGGAAGCAGUUACUUCCCAGAGGGACUUGUUUCUGUGAGAGCCUUUAGAAGAGCAAUGGCAGAAGUGUCCUGUGAAGGGAUUUCUAGCUAAAUAUAAAUAAAAGGUUUGGGCAAUGUGUUGAGGAUGAUGAUGAAAUAGAAGAUACUCUAUUUUGUCAGAAGUGAAAAUUGUCAUCAGCCAUCAGCCUCAACUGUGUACAAAGCUGAGUGCUCUCCAUACCCUGUGUUAUGGAUAGAGAACAGCUAACAGUCUGGUGGUGCCUCAUGACAUGGAGCAGCUCAAAACACCUUAUUUUUAUCACUCUCUUUAAGCCAAUUCUACAUUCCAAGCCUGGACUACCUGUACUUUGCUGCAAUUGCUUGUGGCAGGUUAACACCAAUAACCAGAGCAUAAGCAGCCAAGUUCACUGCAGUGUGCCAGAAGUGUGCCACAGCCCAGGCCCAUGUCUUUGUCCGCAAGGUGCAGCCAAGCAAAGUGCUCCAGAAGGACAGGAAUCACCAGUGAGCAGCUUCAGGUCAGCCUUCAUCAAGGUUUGGGGUAAUUAGUGGCAAGCUGAUGAUGUUUAGAAACAGCAUCUGACUUUUUGUGUGGGAUUGGGUUGGUAACGCCUGACCUGGAUUCAUCCAACACGACAUCCUCCAUAUCCCUCUUCUACAGCCUCCUGAUGGCUUCCAAACUGAAAAACUCUUCUUCUGUGCUUCUACCUGGACACAGCUUGAGCUGCUGCCACUGCAACAGGUUCUGGCCUUCCUGCACUGUCUGGCUGGUGCUUCUAGGUGAGCUGUUCAGACAUUGACCUGUGUGUAGUUAAACAAACCAACCCGUCUGCAAGGAUUGGUGCGAGAAAACAAAUGACAGAGCAAACAGAAGACAGAACAGCUGCGGCAGCAGCAAGGACCGAGCCUCACCCUAUAAAGGUUUUUGAGUCUCAGUGCUUACUAUGACAGAUGGAGUGGAAUUAGGAACCUUGAGUGUGUACUUAUGUCCUCACAGGGGAAUACCAGAGCAAAAGAAAAACACACUGUUCGUACAGCUCAAUUACAAUGAGAAAAACACUGACUCUAAUGGCAAGUAAUUGUUGUCUUUGUUCUUUUAUUUUUAAGAGGAUUUUACUUUACAUGAAAGUUGCUCAUAGUGAGGGGAAGCAGCUAACUUUCUCACUGGCAGUUGGGCCUUGUACUGGGGCUGUGCAGGGGAGCAAUGCAGAGAACUGUAGCUCAGAAAUGAGAGUGAAUUCAUACAUGUCCAGGGGCUCCACAGAGCAGUGGCAUGGCAUGGCCAAGGCCACAGCUGCAAGCAGUGAUCUGUGCUGGGAACCUCUUCCUAGGCUGCCCAAGGAUUUGCCUCUUUGAAACAAUACUGAAAAAAGUUUUGUGUACAGCUGCAUUAUAAACAGUUACUGGUGGAAGAUGGGUCCAAACUGUGGAAGAUGGAUCAAGGACACCCUAAGGGCACUCAUGUGGAGGUGCUGCUGCAAGUAUACAAGACUCACCAGAAGCAGAAGGUUACAACCAAGAUUAGAUGUACUUCAACUUUCUAUAAAAAAGGAACUAAAUAAUCUGGCAGCUUUUCAUGUUUGUGAUAUUUUGGAUCAUCGCACAGUUUUAAAGAAGCUAUCAGUCAGAAAGAGAAAUGUUCAACCCAACAGGAAUUGUUGAAUCAGCUUGAGGUUAUGAUUCCAGCAAGUGGUGGUAGGCUAAAGAACAGACAAAGAUCAGAAGUGAAUUAUAGCUGCAUCACAGGACUCGGGAGGAUGAUGGGCUAAAGCAGCAUUCCUAAAAAACAUGUCAGAAAAAUUCUUAAACUAAGAGAGCAAAAGGAAGCUUGCAUGAAAUCAUACCAGCUUGGCUCCUUGGUUCUGCUGUUUCAUCAAAUGUGUGUCAUUUGGCUGCACAUUUUUGCCUUAUUCCUUUGCUCACCUUCCCUAGAGGGGAAGGAAGAGACUUUCCAGAAUGUACUGUAAGGUGAUGGUUAUUGUAAGAUAUGAGGGUUGCUCCAAAAGUAGUGAGUGCUAUUUUAUGAUAUUGGCCAACAAAUCAGAGGCGGAUGUUGGUGGUAUGGUAGGAGGGUUGAACUUUCCCACAGAUACUCCAUUACAUGUUGCUGCCAUGUGACUGAUGGCAGCAGAGGGGUAGUGUGACAAAACGAUAUCUGACAUAGAA